rnacentral:rRNA from 1 species
CUCUGCGCAAGGGAUCUUUUGGUUCGCUAGACGAAGAAGGGCGCAGCGGAAUGCGAAAUGUGCAGGAGUCGCAGCGAAGAUAGCACAUGCCUGAAAUCACGAGAGUGUGAGACUACCCCUUUGAAUUAAGCAUAUGAGUAAAGGGAGGAAAAGAAACUAACAAGGAUUCCUGUAGUAGCGGCGAGCGAAGAAGGAACAGCCCCGAGUGUAAUCACCAAUAUGUGAGAUGUCAUUAAUCUAUAGAACGAUGUUGAAACU